UACAGAGGGUGCAAGCGUUGCUCGGAAUCAUUGGGCGUAAAGGGUAGGUAGGUGGUCUCAUUUGUCUGGGGUGAAAGCCCAGGGCUUAACCCUGGAAGUGCCCCGGAAACGGUGAGACUGGAGUACUGGAGAGGGUCGUGGAAUUCCCGGUGUAGAGGUGAAAUUCGUAGAUAUCGGGAGGAACACCGGUGGCGAAGGCGGGUCUCUGG
rnacentral:rRNA from 1 species